rnacentral:rRNA from 1 species
UACGUAGGCAGCGAGCGUUGUUCGGAGUUACUGGGCGUAAAGGGUGUGUAGGCGGUUCUUUAAGUUUGGUGUGAAAUCUCCCGGCUCAACCGGGAGGGUGCGCCGGAUACUGAGGGACUAGAGUACGGGAGAGGAAAGUGGAAUUCCUGGUGUAGCGGUGAAAUGCGUAGAUAUCAGGAGGAACACCGGUGGUGUAGACGGCUUUCUGGACCGUAACUGACGCUGAGACACGAAAGCGUGGGUAGCAAACAGG